rnacentral:rRNA from 1 species
UACGGAGGGUGCGAGCGUUGUCCGGAAUCACUGGGCGUAAAGGGCGCGUAGGCGGCCUGAUAAGUAGGGGGUGAAAUCCUGCGGCUUAACCGCAGGGCUGCCUUCUAAACUGUCAGGCUAGAGCACAGUAGAGGCAGGUGGAAUUCCCGGUGUAGCGGUGGAAUGCGUAGAGAUCGGGAAGAACAUCAGUGGCGAAGGCGGUCUGCUGGGCCGUUGCUGACGCUGAGGCGCGACAGCGUGGGGAGCAAACAGG